CGGCGCUGGAGCGGGCGGCGUGGUCCGCCCGGGGAAGGGUAUUCUGUGUUCCUGACUUGCAUUUUGGUUUAUUCCGGGCGCGAGGGCAGCCGUUGAUUGUGAAUGUUUUAGUAAUCCUAAAAUAGAACCGAGUAGUUCUGGGAGAGGGGCUAUAAGGAGUUAGUGUUGAAUGAGUGCAGAGUUUCUUUUGGGGAAGAUGAACAAAUUCUGGAGAUGGAUGGUGGACACGGUGCGCAACAAUGUGAACGGGUUAAUGCCUCUGUGCUGCACGCUGAAAAACGGCUAACCUGAUUAGCCCUGAGCUAACUACUGCCAAUCCUCUUUUUGCUGAGGAAGACUGGCCCUGAGCUAACAUCCAUGCCCAUCUUCCUCUACUCUAUAUGUGGGAUGCCUGCCACAGCAUGGCUUGACAAGCAGUGCCAUGUCUACACCCGGGAUCCGAACUGGCGAACCCUGGGCUGCUGAGAAGUGCAAUGUGCGAACUUAACUGCUGCGCCACUGGGCCGGCCCUUGCCUUUCUUAUUUGAUGUUAUAUUUCAAGAAGGUGGAAAGGAGACGUCUGUGCCGGGGGGAAGAAAGGAGAGCCAAGCUGGGAGAGGCUGCAGUGACUCCUCUGUCCGUCGGUGCUCUGUGGACGGCAGCUCCACUGUUUCGUUUGAAGAGCUGGAAGGCAUGGGGACCCUGGAUGACCGAAGACAGACGCGUGCCCAGUGCUGACCUUCGAAUUUAGAAACUAACUUUAGAGUCAAUGGUCGGGCAGAGCGGCAGCCCUUCGUUUCGCUGCUGAAGAGCUUUCCGCGGGGCACUGCAGCCGAGCUUCUGCAUCCGUUACCCGGUUGCUGGGAAUUUGGUUGUUUCGGGUUUGGGGCAUUGCAGACAAUGCCGUGAGGGAUGCUGUCCUGCGUGUGCAGGGGCGCAUCUGAGGGACGUGAACCUGGGACUGGCACGGAUGGCUCCGGGGUUGGGCAUCUUCAGCUUUACAAGAUGAGGUCGGAUUUUCUCCAAAGUUGGUUGUGGAGCUGGGUCAGCUUAUCUCUGCGGAGACCUCGAAGGAAAGCUUCCACCGUGGCUGUGAAUAAAUGGGAAAUUCUUAAAAUGAUACCGUCGUUAAGGGGCGUUGUAACGCCUGUCCCGGGCGUCGUAAGAGCUUAGAGCCUCUGGCCAGCCAGGACAAGCUACAGCAGCUCUGCCACUGACCCAGCCAAUGGCCUUGGGUGCAUCUUGGUGCUUCUGUGGACCACACUUUGCUCACCUGUAUGAUGGGAGAGACAACUCUGCUUCAGAGGGACUCGGGACCUUGGGGAGACAGGAGAAUAAUUCCACCGCCUGGCCGUGGCUGGAUCCUGUCCUGGAGGGAAAACCGCUUUGAAGCGUGUUAUUGAGUCAAUUGCUGAAACUGCCAGAAUUGGAAUACGAACCGGAGAUUAGAUCAAAUAAUACUGUCAAGGCUAAAUUUACCUAAGUCAGUAACCGAACUAAGGUAAGAGAACGUCCCUGUUCUAAGGAAAUACACCCCUGAAGCAUUUCAGGGCAAAAGGCCAGGGUGCGUGCAACUUACUCUCAGAAGUGUAAAUAAGGAUUGCAGGAGACGAAGCAUAUAGGCUAAAAUGUUAAUGCCAGUGAACAAAAGAGAUGGGCGGACCUCCUGAGCUCGGGGAAGACUGAGAGCAAGGACUGUGAUUUGUUUCACCAGGAGCUCCAGAGCUUGAGACAGUGCCCAGUAGGUAGCAGGUGUUUGAAGAUGUUUGUUGAUUGAAUGAAUGAUUGAAUAAACAAUGAAAGAACAAGUUAGUAAAUCAAAGAUGUGCUAUCUUGGCUGGACUACGGUUGUUGAGAACUCCUUGUGUCAACAUUGACCUUUUUAUGAAGUUUGCUCUCCAGUGAUAGCCUAGCUCACUCCCAGGACGGAGUAGAUCAGCACCAUCCAAUAAAAGUGGAAUGUGAGCCACGUGUGUAAUUUAGAAUCGUCUGGUGGCCACCUGAAAAGUGUAAAAAGAACAGGUAAAAUCAAUUUUAAUAAAAUAUUUCAUUUAACCCAACAUAUUUGAACAUUAUCACUUUAGCAUAUAAUUAACAUUAAAAUUAUUUUAUUUUAUUUUUUUGAGGAAGAUUAGCCCUGAGCUAACUGCCCCCAAGCCUCCUCUUUUUGCUGAGGAAGACUGGCCCUGAGCUACCAUCCGUGCCCAUCUUCCUCUACUUUAUAUGUGGGACGCCUGCCACAAGCAUGGCUUGAUGAGCGGUGUCACGUCUGCACCUGAGAUGGGAACUGGCGAACCCUGGGCCACCAGAUCGGAACGUGUGAACUUAACCACUGCGCCACCGGGCUGGCCCUAAUAUUAAAAUGAUUGAAUGAGAUAUUUUACCUUCCGUUUUUUUGUGCACUGUCCUGGCAGUCCAGCUUGUAUCGUACUUAUAGCACAUCUCGGUUUAGACGCUCAAUUUUCAUCACAAAUACUUGAUCUGUAUUUAGAGCUCAUAAAAUUUAGGGUUGAAAAAGUAGGUUCGUAUGCCUCAGUUGUUCCAAACAUACUUGAAAGUUU
ensembl:lncRNA